AGACGUCUACAUUAGAUACCCGGGUAGUCCUAGCCGUAAACUAUGCGCGUUAGGUGUACCGGUGACCACGAGUUACCGAGGUGCCGAAGGGAAACCGUGAAACGUGCCGCCUGGGAAGUACGGUCGCAAGGCUGAAACUUAAAGGAAUUGGCGGGGAGCACCACAACAGGUGGAGCCUGCGGUUUAAUUGGACUCAACGCCGGGAAGCUCACCGGAUAGGACAGCAGAAUGAUUGCCGGGCUGAAGACCCUGCAUGACUAGCUG
rnacentral:rRNA from 1 species